rnacentral:tRNA from 1 species
UCCCUGGCAGUCCAGUGGUCAAGACUCUGGGCUCCCAACGCAGGGGGCACAGGUUCAAUCCCUGUUUGGGGAA